UGGGGAAUAUUGCACAAUGGGCGCAAGCCUGAUGCAGCCAUGCCGCGUGUAUGAAGAAGGCCUUCGGGUUGUAAAGUACUUUCAGUCGGGAGGAAGGUGGUAAGGUUAAUAACCUUAUCAAUUGACGUUACCGACAGAAGAAGCACCGGCUAACUCCGUGCCAGCAGCCGCGGUAAUACGGAGGGUGCAAGCGUUAAUCGGAAUUACUGGGCGUAAAGCGCACGCAGGCGGUUGAUUGAGUCAGAUGUGAAAUCCCCGGGCUCAACCUGGGAAAUGCAUCUGAUACUGGCAAGCUUGAGUCUCGUAGAGGGGGGUAGAAUUCCAGGUGUAGCGGUGAAAUGCGUAGAGAUCUGGAGGAAUACCGGUGGCGAAGGCGGCCCCCUGGACGAAGACUGACGCUCAGGUGCGAAAGCGUGGGGAGCAAACAGG
rnacentral:rRNA from 1 species